CAGCUCGUGUCGUGAGAUGUUGGGUUAAGUCCCGCAACGAGCGCAACCCUCACCGUAUGUUGCCAGCGUAAAGUCGGGAACUCUUACGGAACUGCCCGUGCAAGCGGGAGGAAGGUGGGGAUGACGUCAAGUCGGCAUGGCCCUUACACCUGGGGCUUCACACAUGCUACAAUGGGCGUCAACAGAGGGGUGCAAGGCCGCGAGGUCAAGCAAAUCCCAAAAAUACGUCCUCAGUUCGGAUUGCAGGCUGCAACUCGCCUGCAUGAAGCUGGAAUCGCUAGUAACCGCAGGUCAGCUAUACUGCGGUGAAUACGUUCCCGGGGUUUGUACACACCGCCCGUCAAGUCACCUGAAUUGUCUGCACCCGAGGCCGGUGGCCUAACCGUAAGGAAGGAGCCGUCUAAGGUGUGGGGAGUAAGGGGGACUAAGUCGUAACAAGGUACC
rnacentral:rRNA from 1 species